GCAUUAUUUUAAUCUACAGAGUAUAUGAUUAUUUAUAUACACACUGGAACCAGUUAAUGCCCUCAGACAAUGUAUAGUUGUCUCAUAAAGCAGGAAAGACAAUGCGGGGGAAGCAGGCGCCCAAAAGGCGUGUCACAAAGGCUUCGGAGGUUCUAGGUGCCACUACAAGUCAAGGCUGGAGAUCACUUCUAAAACACUCAAUGUUCAAGAGGAAUGCUUUAAUUUGGAGACAAUACCGCCCCUCCCGCCCGCCCCCAGACCUCCCUCUUUUUACUUCAUCUUUUCCAUAAUCUUUUCAGUUCACUAUCAAAAGUCCUGGCUCUUCAGAUAUACUUUAAACUAUAAAUAAACGCUGCAUAGUUCUCUGU
rnacentral:lncRNA from 1 species